rnacentral:rRNA from 1 species
UGGGGAAUAUUGCACAAUGGGCGCAAGCCUGAUGCAGCCAUGCCGCGUGUAUGAAGAAGGCCUUCGGGUUGUAAAGUACUUUCAGCGGGGAGGAAGGGAGUAAAGUUAAUACCUUUGCUCAUUGACGUUACCCGCAGAAGAAGCACCGGCUAACUCCGUGCCAGCAGCCGCGGUAAUACGGAGGGUGCAAGCGUUAAUCGGAAUUACUGGGCGUAAAGCGCACGCAGGCGGUUUGUUAAGUCAGAUGUGAAAUCCCCGGGCUCAACCUGGGAACUGCAUCUGAUACUGGCAAGCUUGAGUCUCGUAGAGGGGGGUAGAAUUCCAGGUGUAGCGGUGAAAUGCGUAGAGAUCUGGAGGAAUACCGGUGGCGAAGGCGGCGCCCUGGACGAAGACUGACGCUCAGGUGCGAAAGCGUGGGGAGCAAACAGG